UAGUAAUCGCGAAUCAGAAUGUCGCGGUGAAUACGUUCCCGGGUCUUGUACACACCGCCCGUCACACCACGAGAGUUUACAACACCCGAAGUCAGUGGCCUAACCGCAAGGAGGGAGCUGCCUAAGGUGGGGUAGAUGAUUGGGGUGAAGUCGUAACAAGGUAAC
rnacentral:rRNA from 1 species